GACGAACGCUGGCGGCGUGCUUAACACAUGCAAGUCGAACGGAAAGGCCUCUUUCGGGGGGUACUCGAGUGGCGAACGGGUGAGUAACCCGUGAGUAACCUGCCCUUGACCCUGGGAUAACUUCAGGAAACUCGGGCUAAUACCGGACAGGCGCUCCUGCUGCUAGGUGGGGGAUGGAUAGUUUCGGCGGUUGGGGUUGGACUCGCGGCUUAUCAGGUUGUUGGUGGGGUAGUGGCUUACCAAGGCUUUGACGGGUAGCCGGCCUGAGUGGGUGACCGGCCACAUUGGGACUGAGAUACGACCCAGACGCGUACGGGAGGCAGCAGUGGGGAAUAUUUCACAAUGGGUAGGAGCCUGAUGCAGCAACGCCGUGUGCGAGAUGACGGCCUUCUGGUUGUAAGCCGCAUUCGCGCAUGACGAGGCUUUGUGUGACGGUAGUGGGUAAAGAAGCACCGGCUAACUACGUG
rnacentral:rRNA from 1 species